UACGUAGGCAGCAAGCGUUUGUUCGGAGUUACUGGGCGUAAAGGGUGUGUAGGCGGCCUUCUAAGUUCGGUGUGAAAUCUCCCGGCUUAACCGGGAGGGUGCGCCGGAAACUGGCAGGCUCGAGUGUGGGAGGGGAAAGUGGAAUUCCUGGUGUAGCGGUGAAAUGCGUAGAUAUCAGGAGGAACACCUGUGGUGUAGACGGCUUUCUGGACCAUAACUGACGCUGAGGACACGAAAGCGUGGGUAGCAAACAGGA
rnacentral:rRNA from 1 species